rnacentral:rRNA from 1 species
AGAAUCAACGCUGGCGGCGUGCCUAACACAUGCAAGUCGAACGCGAAGACCCCGCAAGGGGUUGUUAGCGUGGCAAACGGGUGAGUAACGCGUGGGCGACCUACCUCAGAGUGGGGGAUAACCUUCCGAAAGGGAGGCUAAUACCGCAUGACAUCCCGUGUUUGGAUACACGGACAUCAAAGCCGGGGAUCGCAAGACCUGGCGCUUGGAGAGGGGCCCGCGUCCGAUUAGCUAGUUGGUGAGGUAACGGCUCACCGAGGCUUCGAUC